GCCGGCAUCGAGGCCGGAGCGGGGAAGACGGCGGAGACGGCAUCGUCGACGUGCCCAGUUACCAAAGGUGACCUUCGCACCGACGACCUUGUCCCCAACCAUGCCCUCCGCCGCGUCAUCCAGGCAUGGUGCGUCGCCAACAACCUCCCUCCUCGCCGCCUUCCCGCAUCACCCCUCCCUGCGCCGCAAUAUUGCUCGUCUCCGGCACCGGAGACAGCAAGCCCGGUGGACAGGGAGGAGCUGAAAGCAUCGCCGGCGGCGGCGUGUCCUCUCCUGGCGACGACGUUCACCAAUCCUGUUGAUUUCAGAUGCAAGAGUUGUUUGUUGCAUUUGUCGUUCGCCGCGGCGAGUGAGUCGAGUGACUCGUCGGCGUCGUCGGUCCUGCUCAACAACGUCCUGGCGGUGCUGGUGCUCGUCAUGCCGCUCGACGAGGAGGCCAUCGUGGCCAUCGGCUCGUCGAUCACCACGUCGGUGGCGCUGCUCGCCAACAUCAACAUGCAUGUGAAGUCAAGGAUCAGGGUCAACUGCGCUUUCUUCUUCUAA
rnacentral:lncRNA from 3 species